GUUGAGCUCUAUCCCAGGGCUUCUCCUAUAGCUGCACAUUGUUGGAAACCCCUCAUACAGUAACUGAUUUUGUAUCACAUACGGGACUGCUUCCCAGGUCUGUGGGAAGGGACUGCAUGACGGCA
rnacentral:snoRNA from 14 species